ACGGGGUGCAGCAGGCGCGAAAACUUUACAAUGCGGGAAACCGCGAUAAGGGGACACCGAGUGCCAGCAUAUUAUGUUGGCUGUCCAUAUGUAUAAAUAACAUGUGUUAGCAAGGGCCGGGCAAGACCGGUGCCAGCCGCCGCGGUAACACCGGCGGCCCGAGUGGUAGCCACUAUUAUUGGGUCUAAAGGGUCCGUAGCCGGUUUGAUCAGUCUUCCGGGAAAUCUGACAGCUCAACUGUUAGGCUUCCGGGGGAUACUGUCAGACUUGGAACCGGGAGAGGUAAGAGGUACUACAGGGGUAGGAGUGAAAUCUUGUAAUCCUUGUGGGACCACCAGUGGCGAAGGCGUCUUACCAGAACGGGUUCGACGGUGAGGGACGAAAGCUGGGGGCACGAACCGGAUUAGAUACCCGGGUAGUCCCAGCCGUAAACGAUGCUCGCUAGGUGUCUGGGAUGGUGCGACCGUUUCAGGUGCCGCAGGGAAGCCGUGAAGCGAGCCACCUGGGAAGUACGGCCGCAAGGCUGAAACUUAAAGGAAUUGGCGGGGGAG
rnacentral:rRNA from 1 species